rnacentral:rRNA from 1 species
GAUGAACGCUGGCGGUGUGCCUAAUACAUGCAAGUCGAGCGAACAGACGAGGAGCUUACUCCUCUGACGUUAGCGGCGGACGGGUGAGUAACACGUGGAUAACCCACCUAUAAGACUGGGAUAACUUCGGGAAACCGGAGCUAAUACCGGAUAACAUGUUGAACCGCAUGGUUCAACAGUGAAAGACGGUCUUGCUGUCACUUAUAGAUGGAUCCGCGUCGCAUUAGCUAGUUGGUAAGGUAACGGCUUACCAAGACAACGAUGCGUAGCCGACCUGAGAGGGUGAUCGGCCACACUGGAACUGAGACACGGUCCAGACUCCUACGGGAGGCAGCAGUAGGGAAUCUUCCGCAAUGGGCGAAAGCCUGACGGAGCAACGCCGCGUGAGUGAAGAAGGUCUUCGGAUCGUAAAACUCUGUUAUUAGGGAAGAACAAAUGUGUAAGUAACUAUGCACGUCUUGACGGUACCUAAUCAGAAAGCCACGGCUAACUACGUG